UUAUUAAAGUCACAAUCGAUAUUAAUCGUUUCCUAUUUUAUCAGCCUUCGGUUUGAUAAGUAAUCAAAUUUUUACUACUGGUAAUCGUGUAUAUUUCACGAUGAAAAAUUACACUCAUACAUUGACAGGUUUAUGAUAGAUGGAAUUAUUAUUUGUGAAAGUAAAUGCCUUUUAUAAAAGUUCUAAAUUAAAUGUAAAUACCCAAGAAACUUUUAAUAUGCUAUUAUAUAAAAAAAAUUCACGAACGUUUAACGAAUAUUUACGAAGAUCCACAUUACUCAUAUAAAUAGAAACAAAUAAUACCAUUGAUGAUAUCCAUGACUCAGUAUAUCCAAAAUCACUAGGAUCACUGUAUUGCUUGGUUCUUUACGGACCGCGAAGUGAAGUGACGCACGCGCAACCAUGUGUGUAUAUAUAAGAUAAUAUAAUUGAAACAAAAUAAGCAUUGCGCUAUUUUGCGAAUAAGGUAGGCUCGCGAUUCUCUCAUACGGUACAGAAACCAUAAAGAUAAGGCGUAUUUUCAAAUCUUUAUCAAGUUCCACGAGAACGAGUUUGAACGAGUAAAGUCCCCAAGUCGGCACGUGUUCAUCUGUCAUAAAACUAUUCUUCUUACACGUUUGCAGAAUGACUGGCGAAAUGAUAGCGAGAGCAAAAAUAAUGCAGUUGCUUUCGAAAUCGCAACGCGAAAGAGGAGAGUCGAGCAUAUAAUACUCGAAGAAAAUCAAUUAGUAUUUUUGCAAUUGCAGAGAACGAAAAGACAGAGAACGCGCGAGAUUGGUGACAUGUAUGUCAUUUCAACGAGAUACGAGAUUCAACACGUGUCACAUAACUAAUCCUCAAACGCUCCAGCUCGAUCUUUUCUAAGAGCAUGCACAUUUCAUGGCAAAUAGCGUUCAAGGUGAAACCGAGUAGAUAUGAUAUCAGGCUUUUUAUUUAAUCAAUGCGUACAUAUGCAUGUGCGAAUACUCUUCCAAUUGUUUUAUUUAACGUAUUCAAAUAUUCUUAGUGAGCUAGCCGAUGUAUUUGAUAAUAAAUUGACUUGAAUAUUAUGAUUUGUUUCCUUUUACAUUCUUUUAUAAAAUUUCAAAAAAAUAUCGAUCUAAUGAAAUCACGGGAAGACUUUAAUCAUUGACAAAAGGUCGUCGUAGUUUAUUACGUAAGAGUUCCGUGAGUGUCGAGCAAGUUCCGCGCGCGAGAUAUUACUGAUAUCAGUGCGUAUCAGUGAAAACGUGCUCUUAUCGUUAGUGGUAAAACGAGUCGUCUCAGAUGGACAUUAUUUCUCUCAUCUCUUUGAGCCGCUAUUUCAGUCGAGGUAACUCAAACCGGUCAAUGAUCCUCCUUGGUAUGAACGGAAUAGUUAAUUGACUAGCGCAGAUAACUGGUAUAUUUGAUGACUCGUUUAAAUUGUAAAUAAUAGCAUGACUUGAAAAAAAGAAGGAAGUUGCUUUACAUCCGAAUGGUUGGCAGGGUUAUAGCAGUUCGCACUUUUACCGCUUUGUUUCUUGUUAUUUAUUUCAAAAUUCUUUUCUCAGAUAUUUUAGUUUGAUUAGAUUCUUCCGAGAUGCAAUGUCAAUAUGAUUUGUGUAAAAAAAUUGUAAAGUAAUAUACUUUAAGAAAACUGCAGUUUCAUGGAUCAUAUACGUACUUACAUGCGUAAGAUAUAAAUAAAAUUUCCUCGUAUAUAUUAAAGCAUCGACCAGAGAAAAAAUUAGGAAUUAUCACGUCGUAACGUUUGUACUCUUAUUUUUGAUUUUAGAUGUUCCGACUUAAUAUUAUUCGAUUAGCACUAAUACUUAUUUAGAGUUUUAUGUUACUUUUUUUAUGAUUAUUCAUCAAAAAUUUCAUUAGUAUUUUGUUUGUUAUUAUUUCAAAAAAGCAAGAUUCUUUUAUUCAUGUUGAAUCUUAUGAUCAUAUAAGAAAUCUUCGAAGUCCGGUUAUUUUCUACGCUUCUAUACCAUUCUAUACCGUUAUAGAAAUAGCUCACGCAUUCAUGACGUUAAUGUAAACUAAUAGUCACCACCUCGACAUAUAUAGCUGUAACGCUUUAUCGGUAAAAUAAUCCGACUUGCUCAUACAACAUCCUAAAUAUGCUAGGUAUGUUAGCGAAUUACCUCAAAUAUCAUGAUCAUUUAGAAAUUGUUCACUAAGAUAACUAAAAUGGAAAAUAUACAAGUAAUAAUUAAAUUGUUUAUGAAUAAUAAAACAAUAGAAAGUAUUUAUUCAGGAGUAUAAUAUAAAUAUAUAGUAAAUAAUUGAAGACUAAAUUAAACUUUACAGUUCUACUACAUUUUGACUAACUUAAACAAUAAUAUAUACGUUGUAAGAUUCUUAAAUCUUAAAACAAUCAAUAAUGGUUAAAAAAAAAUCAUUUAUAGCCUUGUUCAUCACAUAUAUGUCCAUAUUUUGUAUUUAAUAAUAAUUUCAAAAUCGUUAGUUCCAACAGGAAUAAAUUUUCUUAUGAACUCGUAUGACGACGAAUUCUGUGUACUGGUCCAGUUGAUGGUUCGAGGGAGAGAGUCACGACUUAGCUCGGAACUCGCUCAAGCCUUAGGCUACCACGAAUGUUUAUGUUUCAAAUUUCGCAGCAAUAAGCAUUCGUUGGAACCUAACAGCAAGCGUUUCAAAGUACUUUGGGUAAAAUAAAAUAUUAAUUUGCUUUAAUAUUUACAGGGACAGUUAAAAUGAUAUAAGGAAUAUGUACGAAAUUUCCAGUGUAAUUUAGCGAAUAGGAAAUAUUAGAAAACAAACAGUUUGACGAACACAUCGUACAAAAACCACAUAUUUCCAUUUAUAUUUGUAAAAAGCUAAAAUAAACGCAUCAUUGUUAUAUAAUCGUCAGAUUAUUGAUCAACAUAUUUUCCUGAUUAAUAUGUUGAUAAAAAAAAUGUAUCGCUUAAUAACAAUGUAUAUUUAUAAUAGCUUGUCGAAAUUAGAUGUAAUGAGUAUUUCUUUCAUGAAAUCAAAGAAAAAAGAACAAAGAUAUACUCAUAUUUCGCUGAAGACAUUGAAUUGGUUUCAAUUAAAAAACUUACGAGACGUCCCACUCGAUGUUUCAUAUUCUCAAGAAGAUCCGUUCGUUCACAUUACGACUCACGUGUCGAACGAUAGAAACGUGACAUCGUGAGAAGCGAGAGCGCUUAGACUCGUACGCAAAUAGCUUUUACGGAAAUAGAAAAGUAAUUUUCAAAAUGGUAUGAUCUGAUGGUACGAUUGAUUCUCAUAAUAUUUCAUAUUAUCCAUGUAUCUACGUUUCUUCGUCUCUUUUGAGAUAUAAUAAUUAGAUGUUUAUAAAUACUAAACGACAAAUGAGAAAGGAAAUCGAUUAACUUACUUACUUGGAAACUCCUAAUUACAAAUUAGACUAGUAAAUGAUUUGAUAAUAAUUUUCUCGAAAAAUCAAUCAAUUUUCUAUUUACUGUAACUCUCUUUUAAAAUUAAGCAUCCGAUUAUGUUAAA